AGCUUUGCGCAGUGGCAGUAUCGUAGCCAAUGAGGUUUAUCCGAGGCGCGAUUAUUGCUAAUUGAAAAUAAAAAGUUCUUCAAGAAGGCAAAUGAGAAACUAAAAAAGCAAAGAAAAUCACAUUAAUGA
rnacentral:snRNA from 11 species